GACGAACGCUGGCGGCGUGCCUAAUACAUGCAAGUAGAACGCUGAAGCGAGGAGCUUGCUCUUCUUGGAUGAGUUGCGAACGGGUGAGUAACGCGUAGGUAACCUGCCUUGUAGCGGGGGAUAACUAUUGGAAACGAUAGCUAAUACCGCAUAACAAUGGAUGACACAUGUCAUUUAUUUGAAAGGGGCAAUUGCUCCACUACAAGAUGGACCUGCGUUGUAUUAGCUAGUAGGUGAGGUAAUGGCUCACCUAGGCGACGAUACAUAGCCGACCUGAGAGGGUGAUCGGCCACACUGGGACUGAGACACGGCCCAGACUCCUACGGGAGGCAGCAGUAGGGAAUCUUCGGCAAUGGGGGCAACCCUGACCGAGUAACGCCGCGUGAGUGAAGAAGGUUUUCGGAUCGUAAAGCUCUGUUGUAAGUCAAGAACGGGUGUGAGAGUGGAAAGUUCACACUGUGACGGUAGCUUACCAGAAAGGGACGGCUAACUACGUG
rnacentral:rRNA from 1 species